UCUCAUGAGAGUGGCGCACGGGUGAGUAACGCGUAUGCAACCUACCUUUAACUGAGGGAUAGCCCAUAGAAAUGUGGAUUAAUACCUCAUAGUUCUAUUGAGUCGCAUGAUUUGAUAGAUAAAGCUCCGGCGGUUAAAGAUGGGCAUGCGUGACAUUAGUUUGUUGGUGAGGUAACGGCUCACCAAGACUACGAUGUCUAGGGGUUCUGAGAGGAUGAUCCCCCACACUGGUACUGAGACACGGACCAGACUCCUACGGGAGGCAGCAGUGAGGAAUAUUGGUCAAUGGGCGCAAGCCUGAACCAGCCAUCCCGCGUGCAGGAUGAAGGCCCUAUGGGUCGUAAACUGCUUUUAUACACCAAGAAAAACACCCACGUGUGGGUGCCCGACGGUAGUGUAUGAAUAAGCAUCGGCUAACUCCGUGCCAGCAGCCGCGGUAAUACGGAGGAUGCAAGCGUUAUCCGGAUUCAUUGGGUUUAAAGGGUGCGUAGGCGGCUUUUUAAGUCAGUGGUGAAAUCUUGCCGCUUAACGGUAAAAUUGCCAUUGAUACUGACAAGCUUGAGUACAUUUGAGGUAAGCGGAAUGUGUAGUGUAGCGGUGAAAUGCUUAGAUAUUACACAGAACACCGAUUGCGAAGGCAGCUUACUAAACUGUUACUGACGCUGAUGCACGAAAGCGUGGGGAGCGAACAGGAUUAGAUACCCUGGUAGUCCACGCCGUAAACGAUGAUCACUCGCUGUAUGCGAUACACAGUAUGCGGCCAAGCGAAAGCAUUAAGUGAUCCACCUGGGGAGUAC
rnacentral:rRNA from 1 species